rnacentral:tRNA from 1 species
GGAGUUUUGGCUCAGUGGUAGAGCACGAGCCUUGCAAGCAUGAGUCACUGAGUUCGAUCCUCAGUACCA